CCACAAGGGGUGAAGCCUGCGGUUCAAUUGGACAACGCCAGAAAUCUUACCCGGAGAGACAGCAGAAUGAAGGUCAAGCUGAAGACUUUACCAGACAAGCUGAGAGGUGGUGCAUGGCCGUCGCCAGCUCGUGCCGUGAGAUGUCCUGUUAAGUCAGGUAACGAGCGAGAUCCCUGCCUCUAGUUGCCACCAUUACUCUCAGGAGUAGUGGGGCGAAUUAGCGGGACCGCCGCAGUUAAUGCGGAGGAAGGAAGGGGCCACGGCAGGUCAGUAUGCCCCGAAACUCUGGGGCCACACGCGGGCUGCAAUGGUAGCGACAAUUGGUUUCGAAUCCGAAAGGAUGAGGUAAUCCACAAACGCUACCACAGUUAUGACUGAGGGCUGCAACUCGCCCUCACGAAUAUGGAAUCCCUAGUAACUGCGUGUCAUUAUCGCGCGGUGAAUACGUCCCUGCUCCUUGCACACACCGCCCGUCGUUUCAUUGAAGUGAGCUUUUAGCGAGGUGACGUCUGAUUGGCGUUAUCGAACUUGAGGUUCGUGACAGAUCGGAAGAG
rnacentral:rRNA from 1 species